CAGGGAGACAACAAAAUGUUUAAUUUUAUAAUUUUGUCACCUUAGGUCGAUCGGUAUCUCACGUUCUUAAUUAAUUAAGAAUUUCAUUUUCUAAGUUUUUCUAGGUCACACCCAUUAUUUUUCCUGGGCCAUUAGCUCAGGUGGUUAGAGCGCACCCCUGAUAAGGGUGAGGUCCCUGGUUCAAGUCCAGGAUGGCCCAUAUCUCUAUGUUGGGGGUAUAGCUCAGUUGGUAGAGCGCCUGCUUUGCAAGCAGGAUGUCAGCGGUUCGAGUCCGCUUACCUCCACUGAUUACCACCUCUUCCAUAAUUUGGAUAAAGGAAAUUUUUUGAGUUGUGAUCACAUUCUGAACGAAUCUAGCUUCCUAAUGAAGUCAUUAAGAAGCUGGACUCAUUGAAUUAAUUUCAUUGUUUUCAGAGAACCUUGACAACUGCAUAGAUUAUUUUUAAAGACAAUAAGCAUCUUUAAUGAUGCAGAUUUAUUAUUUGUGCUAAUGCAUUAAUAACAAUUCUAUUAAGCUGAUGCUUCAAUUUUGAAGUUAUU
rnacentral:tRNA from 1 species